rnacentral:rRNA from 1 species
UACAGGGGGUGCGAGCGUUAAUCGGAUUUACUGGGCGUAAAGCGUGCGUAGGCGGUUGGGUAAGUCGGAUGUGAAAGCCCUGGGCUUAACCUGGGAAUGCCAUUCGAUACUGCCCGACUCGAGUUCGGUAGAGGGCGGUGGAACUCCAGGUGUAGCGGUGAAAUGCGUAGAUAUCUGGAAGAACACCAAUGGCGAAGGCAACCGCCUGGGCCUGAACUGACGCUGAGGCACGAAAGCGUGGGGAGCAAACAGG